CUCUACUGCCUACUGGUCAAUAAUAAAUAAAUAACCUAAACCAGCCUUAGAGAAAGAAAGGCAAAAAAAGGAAGAGAGAAAGAAAUCUCGCUCUCCUCUCGGCUCUCGCCACCGUUCUCCCUCCGUCCAGUCAUCCACCGAGUCACCGACAGGCGCGUCUCCUCCCUCCCUCCUUCCCAUAAACACAGGCUCACGCACACGCCUCCGCCCGGAGGAAGGAAAGAAAGGAAGGCCGCGACCACCCCGACCCCGACCCCGACCUACCACCAAUUCCCUCCUCCCUCCN
rnacentral:lncRNA from 1 species